rnacentral:rRNA from 1 species
CCUACGGGUGGCAGCAGUGAGGAAUAUUGGUCAAUGGGCGCGAGCCUGAACCAGCCAAGUCGCGUGAGGGAAGACGGCUCUACGGGUUGUAAACCUCUUUUGCCGGGGAGCAACGGGCGCCACGCGUGGCGCCACUGAGAGUACCCGGAGAAAAGGCAUCGGCUAACCCCGUGCCAGCAGCCGUGGUAAUACGGAGGAUGCGAGCGUUUUCCGGUUUUAUUGGGUUUAAAGGGUGCGUAGGCGGAGCGUUAAGUCAGUGGUCAAAUUGAGGGGUUCAACCCCUUCCCGCCAUUGAAACUGGCGCUCUUGAGUGGAAGAGAGGUAGGCGGAAUGCAUGGUGUAGCGGUGAAAUGCGUAGAUAUCACGCAGAACCCCGAUUGCGAAGGCAGCAUGCCGGCUUCCGACUGACGCUGAGGCACGAAAGCGUGGGGAUCGAACAGGAUUAGAUACCCCUGUAGUC